ACCAUCCUUUUUGGGGGUUGUGCUACUGUCCACUGAGUGCACAGAGAGGGCAGUCCUGCUAACACCUACAGCACAUGCUCCCAUCAACUAGAGCUUGGCUUUGUAUUGGUGCAAUUUUUGGAAAA
ensembl:snRNA